AAUGCAGAGACUGUGUGUAUUCUCUGCUAUAUUGAUUUUUUUGAGGAAAAUGGGCAGUUGUGUUUCAUCAAUUUCAAUUGGAAAUUUCAACAAUCAUUUUCCCCACAUCU